GGUGGGUGAGGAGAGUAUCCUAAGGCCAGCGAGAGAACUGUUGUUAAGGAACUCGGCAAAAUGACCCCGUAACUUAGGGAUAAGGGGUGCCACCAUCAGGUGGCCGCAGAGAAUAGGCCCAAGCGACUGUUUACCAAAAACAUAGGUUUCUGCUAAGUCGCAAGACGAUGUAUAGGAGCUGACGCCUGCCCGGUGCUGGAAGGUUAAGGGGAUCUGUUAGAGCAAUCGAAGCAGUGAACUUAAGCCCCAGUAAACGGCGGCCGUAACUAUAACGGUCCUAAGGUAGCGAAAUUCCUUGUCGGGUAAGUUCCGACCCGCACGAAAGGCGUAACGAUUUGGGCACUGUCUCAACAACAGACUCGGUGAAAUUGUAAUUCCGGUGAAGAUGCCGGAUACCUGCGACAGGACGGAAAGACCCCAUGGAGCUUUACUGUAGCUUGACAUUGGGUCUUGGUACUACAUGUACAGGAUAGGUGGGAGGCUUUGAAACCAGGACGCCAGUUUUGGCGGAGCCAUCCUUGGGAUACCACCCUUGUAGUACUGGGACUCUAACCAUAGGCCAUGAAUCUGGUCUUGGGACACUGUCAGGUGGGCAGUUUGACUGGGGCGGUCGCCUCCCAAAAGGUAACGGAGGCGCUCAAAGGUUCUCUCAGUACGGUCGGAAAUCGUACGUAGAGUGUAAAGGCAAAAGAGAGCUUGAUUGCAAGACAUACAGGUCGAGCAAGGAUGAAAAUCGGACUUAGUGAUCCGGUGGUUCUGCGUGGAAGGGCCAUCGCUCAACGGAUAAAAG
rnacentral:rRNA from 1 species